rnacentral:rRNA from 1 species
AACGCGAAGAACCUUACCCAGGCUUGACAUCCUACUAAGGUUUCCGAAAGGAAACUGUGCCUUCGGGCCGUAGAGACAGGUGUUGCAUGGCCGUCGUCAGCUCGUGUCGUGAGAUGUUUGGUUAAGUCCAUCAACGAGCGCAACCCUUAUAGUUAGUUGUAUUUCUCUAGCUAGACUGCCCUGGUAACAGGGAGGAAGGAGGGGAUGAUGUCAGGUCAGUAUUACCCUUACGUCUGGGGCUACAAACACGCUACAAUGGCCGGUACAAAGGGCAGCCAAGUCGCGAGACGGAGCAAAUCCCAUCAAAGCCGGUCUCAGUUCGGAUUGCAGGCUGAAACUCGCCUGCAUGAAGCCGGAAUCGCUAGUAACGGUAGGUCAGCUAUACUACCGUGAAUACGUUCCCGGGCCUUGUA